rnacentral:rRNA from 1 species
UACGUAGGGAGCAAGCGUUGUCCGGAAUCAUUGGGCGUAAAGCGCGCGUAGGUGGCUUCGUAAGUCCGUUGUGAAAGUCAAAGGCUCAACCUUUGAAAGCCGAUGGAUACUGCGGAGCUAGAGUACGGAAGAGGCGAGUGGAAUUCCUGGUGUAGAGGUGAAAUUCGUAGAUAUUGGGAAGACACCGGUGGCGAAGGCGGCGAGCUGGUCCAUUACUGACGCUGAGGCGCGACAGCGUGGGGAGCAACAGGAUUAGAGUACCCCGG